CUCACAUAACAAUAAUUAUUUUAUUUGGUCUUCUAAAUUAGAGGUCUGAGGCAAUUUUACAUAUUUUUUCUCAGAUAAAUUUUAGAAAAAAUAAUUAAGCAUGCUAAAAUUUUGAUGGGAGCAUAUUAUAAAUUAAACUGUUAAAUGGUUGUCACUACAAUUAUGAGUUCUAUUUACACACAUAAUGUGUAUAAUGGAGCAUUUUAUGUCCUCUUUAAAUUUUUGUUUUGUGAUAAGUUGUAUAUAGUUUCCUUGAAAGCCUGUAUACUGGUGAUGUGUUACACAGAUAUCACUUGUGUGUAAUACUUAUGUAUUUUAAUACCAAGUCAUAAAAUUAAGAUAAAAAAUGUCUGGAGAUGUGGCUCAGUGGCUAAACAACUCUGUGUUCAAACCCUAGUACCAAAAAAUAUAUAUUAAUAGAUAUGAAUACAUUGAUCACUAAAAGUGGGAAACAGGUAGGCACAAGAAAGUAUGGCAGACCCAGCAAUUGCACACUUGAAUAUUUAUUGCAGAGAAAUAAAAACUUACGUUCUCACUAGACUUGUACAUGAAUACUUAUGGCAGUAUUUUUCAUAAUCACUCAAACCUGAAAACACCUCAAUUAUACUUUGACGCAAACAGCCACAUUAUCCUUCAAUGUGUUAAACAAGCUUUAGUAUGUCCAUAUCAUGGAAUAGUAUGCAUUAAUCAAAAGGACAAAAUAUUCACAAAUCAAAUAGUUGGAUGACUGUUCUAGAGAAUUAUUCUAGUGAAGAUGAAUUUUUAGAGAUUGCAUAUUUUAUUAUUCCAUUUAACUAAUAAUCCUAAGUAAGCAAAAUUAUAGAAAUCAAGAACAUCUUAUUGUUUGCCAAUAGUUUGGAAAAGGAUUCUGUUGGGAGGGAAGUAAGUGAAUAAAUAAAAUUGCACCAUGAACAAGGGAGCAUUGUAGUGAUGGAAAUAUUUUAUAUCUUGACAGUAGCAAUGUCACUAUGUAGGUUGUGAUAUUUAAUUCUAAUUUUGAAAGAUGGUAUUGUUAGAUAUCACUCUGUGACAUUUCUUAUUAUAUUAAGUGAAGUCUUUAUUUUGAGGAAAUGUGACAUUUUCUUAGUUAGACCUGGAAAAUAAUAAUUAAAUACUGUCAUUUGAUACUUAGAGGGAACUAACUAAAGGGAAUAUAAGAUCGCUUUGUAUUAUUUUUUGCAGUUUCUAAAAAAAAUUG
rnacentral:lncRNA from 1 species